rnacentral:miRNA from 1 species
GAUCUCGAUGAGGUUUGAUCC